CCCACCUCCUCCCUCGCUCCCGGUCGCCCAUGCCCUCCCGGCCUCCUCCCGAUGCACAUGCCACCGCCCCUGCUCCUCCCUCCUCCAGGAGGGAGCACCGCCGCCCCUGUUCUUCCUUCCCCCCGCCGGCAUGCGCGUCGCCGCCCCUCUGGCCGUCGUUGGCAUCCUGCUCGAACCCGUGGGCCCGAGGAAGAUGGAGACGACGGAUGAUGGGAAGGAGCAGCGGCUGCCUUGUGAUGACCUCGUGGGAGCAGACGGUGAUAAAGACCAUCAACGAGGCUGCUACUGUUUAAUGCGGAAGGGUUCAUUAGCUGUGUGGAGACCUUUUAUUAUGGUGAUGAUGACAAACAAGAUCAAGCUGUCAAUUUUGAAUUAAAGAGAUUCCAGAAUAGAGAAGGAUCAUUUGCAAAGAAGCUUGCGAGGAGUUGUCAAAAUUUUGAUUAUAAUGCAGCAUCUUGGUGGAGGCUCUAUGGAACUGAAGCACCAGCUCUACAAAGGAUGGCUGUGAGAAUCCUCUCAUUGACAUCAAGUUCUUCAGUCUGUGAAAGGAAUUGGAGUACCUUCGAAAAUAUUCAUAAGAAGAAAAGAAAUAGGCUAACUACAGAACAUCUAAACUCUCUUGUGUUCAUACAAUUCAACUCGAGAAUGAUGGCCAAGAAACAAAUGAUCAAGGAGAAGAAGAUCACUGAUGUCCUCUUAUCCGCUAAAACUACUGAAGCUCAAGGUUUUCUUUUUGAGGGCGGAGAUGAUUAUGCAGAAGUCAUCUAUAUGGAUAAAGAUGAGGAGGAGAUGAAUAGUACAGGGAUGCCAGGGAGUGGCGUUGGAGAAGCAAUGGGAGGCGAUGAACUGCUCGAGCCACAUAGAAGUGCGAGACCAAGACAACUUUAUUAAGAAGAAGAAUUUGAUUCUGAAGAAGAGGAUUUUGAUGAUGAGGAGGAGAUGCAUUCAGAUGAGGAGAAUGGAUAUUGAUAGUUGAGGAGACCCAAAUGAACAGGAGUGGAGCAUGGAGGAGGGCUCUGGGUGACGGCGGCGCAUGACAAAGGGCUCUGGAUUGUGGCGGGGAAGGAGCGGAGGAAUUGUGCAUUCGGGAAUGUCGCGACCGCCGAUCCUAUCUGUUGGUAUACUGUCUGACAGGUGCCACAACGGCCUUGUAGCUUCAGAUUUACAAAUUUCUAAGGAGCGGAGCAUGGAGGAGGGCUCUGAGUCGUGAUGGGGCAUGGCGGAGGGCUCUGGGUUGUGGCGGGCAAGGACCGGAGGAACUGUGCAUCCGGGGAUGGCGUGACCGCCGAUCCUAUCCGUUACACUGCUGUCUGACAGGUCACAUGAUCACCAAGGCAUGUGAUAGCAUCUUCAUGCCCAACUCUCACUCUGCUGUCGCCCAUUCAGCGCACUCGCCGAGGCUAGGGGUGGAUGGUUCUUUGAUGCUGGCACAACUGGAGACAGCAAGAAGCAGAUGGAGGGAGGGCUAUCAUGUUGAAGAAGACGCCGGCACCCCGACAAUGGAAAUGCGGUUUCUCGGAGCUAGCGGGAAGGAGGCCGAUGGCUUCCCGUUGUAGUAACGCGAUGCUGAAGAAACAACACACCAGGUUCUAUUCUUUUUUUUGAAGAUCACACCACGUUCUAUUUGUAAACCAUUUUUUCACUAUCAGUAAUUACUAGAGUAUGUGAACAAAAUCUGAACUGUAAUUUGUGAUAUUUGAGAUGUCUAUAAGUGUACAAAUAGAAAGGCGCCAAUUCAAUUGAUUGUCAGAUUCAGAAUAGUAUGUGUGAAGUGGCUUCUAUCUCAAUUUUUUUA